ensembl:misc_RNA Gm27854 predicted gene, 27854
UCUGGGUGUGAUGGCGCACACUUUUAAUCGCAGCACUCAGGAGGCAGAGGCAGGUGGACUUCUGAGUUUGAGGCCAGCCUGGUCUACAAAGUGAGUUCCAGGACAGCCAGGGCUAUAUAGAGAAACCCUGUCUCUGAAAAAGAGAGAGAGAGAGAGAGAGAGAGAGAGAGAGAGAGAGAGAGAGAGUCUUACCAUGUAGCUUUGACUGUCCUGGAACUCACUCUGUAGACCAGACUGGCCUCAAACUUAGAUAUCCACCUGCCUCU